rnacentral:rRNA from 1 species
GACGGAGGAUGCAAGCGUUAUCCGGAAUUAUUGGGCGUAAAGCGUCCGCAGGUGGACAUACAAGUCUGCUGUCAAAGUGCAGAGCUUAACUCUGUAAAGGCGGUGGAAACUGUAGGUCUUGAGUAUGGUAGGGGUAGAGGGAAUUCCCGGUGUAGCGGUGAAAUGCGUAGAUAUCGGGAAGAACACCAGUGGCGAAAGCGCUCUACUGGGCCAUAACUGACACUGAGGGACGAAAGCUAGGGGAGCAAACGGG